GUAGGGGCUGUAGACUGAAGUCCCCAUUUAUCCAGACAGCAGGUGCAGCAUAGGCAACAGCAAUUGAAGUUUCCCCAUGUUGACCUACCAGUGUAUUUGUGUCCUGACUUUAAAGAACCAAUUCUAAGAUAUGAGGAUAUUUCAGUCUCCAGGGGCCAUCUACUCUUAGCCCUCG
rnacentral:sRNA from 1 species